GAUGAACGCUGGCGGCGUGCCUAAUACAUGCAAGUCGAGCGAACAGACGAGGAGCUUGCUCCUCUGACGUUAGCGACGGACGGGUGAGUAACACGUGGAUAACCUACCUAUAAGACUGGGAUAACUUCGGGAAACCGGAGCUAAUACCGGAUAAUAUAUUGAACCGCAUGGUUCAAUAGUGAAAGACGGUUUUGCUGUCACUUAUAGAUGGAUCCGCGCCGCAUUAGCUAGUUGGUAAGGUAACAGCUUACCAAGGCAACGAUGCGUAGCCGACCUGAGAGGGUGAUCGGCCACACUGGAACUGAGACACGGUCCAGACUCCUACGGGAGGCAGCAGUAGGGAAUCUUCCGCAAUGGGCGAAAGCCUGACGGAGCAACGCCGCGUGAGUGAUGAAGGUCUUCGGAUCGUAAAACUCUGUUAUUAGGGAAGAACAAAUGUGUAAGUAACUAUGCACGUCUUGACGGUACCUAAUCAGAAAGCCACGGCUAACUACGUG
rnacentral:rRNA from 1 species